AACAAACGCUGGCGGCGUGCCUAACACAUGCAAGUCGUGCGAGAAAGUCCCCUUCGGGGGGCGAGUAAAGCGGCGAAAGGGUGAGUAACACGUGGGUAACCUACCCCUUGGAUCGGGAUAACGUGCCGAAAGGCGCACUAAUACCGGAUAAGACCACGCGGACUAUGUCCGAGCGGUAAAAGAUGGCCUCUCGCAGAAGCUAUUACCAGGGGAUGGGCCCGCGGCCUAUUGGCUAGUUGGUAGGGUAACGGCCUACCAAGGCUAUGAUGGGUAGCCGGCCUGAGAGGGUGUACGGCCACACUGGAACUGAGACACGGUCCAGACUCCUACGGGAGGCAGCAGUGGGGAAUUUUGCGCAAUGGGGGAAACCCUGACGCAGCAACGCCGCGUGAGUGAUGAAGGCCUUCGGGUCGUAAAGCUCUUUUGGAGGGAAAGAAAUGUGUCGUGGCUAACAUCCACGGCAUUUGACGGUACCCUCAGAAAAAGUUCCGGCUAACUCCGUGCCAGCCGCCGCCGUAACAC
rnacentral:rRNA from 1 species